rnacentral:rRNA from 1 species
ACACGGUAAGGAUUGACGGACUGAAGGCUCUUUCUCGAUUCCGUGGAAAGUGGUGCAUGGCCGUUUUUGGUUGGUGGAUCGAUCCGUCUGGUUAAUUCCGUUAACGAACGAGACCUCGGCACUCCGAAUAGCGCGGCGGACGUCGCGGCCUCCGGGCCGUCUUCCGCACGAGCUUCUUAGAGGGACCGUCCCCCGCCGGGGAAGGAGGUGCGAGGCAACGACAGGUCUGUGAUGCCCUUAGAUGUUCUGGGCCGCACGCGCAUUACACUGACGCGUCCAACGGGUGACUCCCGACCCGAAGGGGCCGGGGAAUCCGCAAGGCGCGUCGUGAGUGGGGAUUGAACGUUGCAAUUGUUGUUCACGAACGAGGAAUUCCUAGUAGGCGCGGGUCAUCAACCCGCGCCGAUUACGUCCCUGCCC